rnacentral:lncRNA from 1 species
AUGAAACUCCUCCACCCUUUCCCACAGUUCCUUUUCUGUGCCACUGAAGCCAAGAAACUCUCCCACAAUCCUCUGAAAAAGAUAAUAUAUAUCCUCAGUACACUGCUGAAGAAAAAGCCAGAAUCCACCCUGCAAAGCCCACAGCUUCCCCACAGGGUUGCUCCAAGCUCAGAGGAAGGCAGUGGUUUGGGAAGAAGAGAAAGAAAGCAAGGAUAGAGUUCUGAUUGACAGAGCUCCGAGAGGCCUUCCAGAUCACCUUUUAUUCUUGUUUUCAGUGCUCAUUUGUUUUAAACAUUGACCAGAG